rnacentral:tRNA from 1 species
GGGCUAUAGCUCAGCUGGGAGAGCGCCUGCCUUGCACGCAGGAGGUCAGGGGUUCGAUCCCCCUUGGCUCC